ACCUCAUAGACCCAGCUGGCCCUUCCUAGUGAUCGUUUCAGCAGAGCCGCCAGCAGGGUGAGCGCUGGGGACCGGGCAGAGGCAAAUGUCACAGAAUGUGAGUGCCACCGCCACCAAGUGACACCACACAGCCCUGGACGAGCUGAGCUGCCAGUGAUGAGUGGCCAGGCCAGCGAAACUGCUUCUUCCCCAGAGCAGCUGCAGAUUCCAGGUGGUUUCAGGAGGCUUGCACCCCUCCGCCUUAUGAGCCUGGGGUCUCCCACUUUCUGGCUGAGUGACGCUGGGAGCUCCAGGGGCAUUUCAUGUGGAGGAGAUGGACUCUGAAGUCGGAGACCUGCCGGUCCCACGCCAGCCACAAACUGGGCGGACGACCUCGAGCAAGUCAUUUCCAUCUCCUUCUCCCUCCGUUUCCUGCAACACUGACAAAAGCCAGAAAUACUUGAAGGGCCGGACCUCUGGGGCCAGGGACUCUUUUGAGUGAGUUAAUGUAUGAGAGCCCCCGGGGAAGAAUAAAGCACUGAUCUCAUAACAGCAA